AGAGUUUGAUCAUGGCUCAGAAUCAACGCUGGCGGCGUGCCUCAGACAUGCAAGUCGAACGAUUAAGACUCCCUUCGGGGAGUGCAUAAAGUGGCGCACGGGUGAGUAACACGUAAGUAAUCUACCUUCGAGUGGGGAAUAACAUCGGGAAACCGAUGCUAAUACCGCAUAACGCAGCGGCACCUAAUGGUGACAGUUGUUAAAGGAGCAAUUCGCUUGAAGAGGAGCUUGCGGCAGAUUAGCUAGUUGGUAAGGUAAUGGCUUACCAAGGCUACGAUCUGUAUCCGGUCUAAGAGGACGGUCGGACACGCUGACACUGAAUAACGGGUCAGACUCCUACGGGAGGCAGCAGUCGGGAAUUUUGGGCAAUGGGCGAAAGCCUGACCCAGCAACGCCGCGUGAAGGAUGAAGUUUUUCGGAAUGUAAACUUCGAAAGAAUGGGAAGAAUAAAUGACGGUACCAUUUAUAAGGUCCGGCUAACCACGUGCCAGCAGCCGCGGUAAUACGUAGGGACCAAGCGUUGUUCGGAUUUACUGGGCGUAAAGGGCGCGUAGGCGGCAAUUCAAGUCAGCUGUGAAAUCUCCGGGCUUAACUCGGAACGGUCAGCUGAUACUGCUUUGCUAGAGUGCAGAAGGGGCAAUCGGAAUUCUCGGUGUAGCGGUGAAAUGCGUAGAUAUCGAGAGGAACACCUGAGGUGAAGACGGGUUGCUGGGCUGACACUGACGCUGAGGCGCGAAAGCCAGGGUAGCAAACGGGAUUAGAUACCCCGGUAGUCCUGGCCCUAAACGAUGAAUACUUGGUGUCUGGAGUUAUUAUUGCUCCGGGUGCCGUCGCUAACGUUUUAAGUAUUCCGCCUGGGGAGUACGCACGCAAGUGUGAAACUCAAAGGAAUUGACGGGGACCCGCACAAGCGGUGGAGCAUGUGUUUAAUUCGACGCAACGCGAAGAACCUUACCUGGGCUAGAAUGCCGCGGGAA
rnacentral:rRNA from 1 species